GCCAGGUGUGGUGGCAAGCCCCUCUAGUUGCAGCUACUCAGGAGGCUGAGAGAAGGAUUGCUUGGGCCUGGGAGCUCCUGGUUAUAAUGUGCCAUGCUGAUCACAUGUCUGCACUAUUUGGCAUCAAUGUGGUGACCUCUCAGGAGCUGUGUGUAAUGUGGUUGCAAACGAGAGGCAAACUGACCCAGGUCGGAAAUGGAGCAGGUCAAAA
rnacentral:lncRNA from 10 species